GUGUCAGCCGCCGCGGUAAUACGUAGGGCGCAAGCGUUGUCCGGAAUCAUUGGGCGUAAAGAGCUCGUAGGUGGUCUGUUACGUCUGCUGUGAAAACCUAGGGCUUAACCCUGGGCCUGCAGUGGAUACGGGCAGACUAGAGGUAGGUAGGGGAGAAUGGAAUUCCCGGUGUAGCGGUGAAAUGCGCAGAUAUCGGGAGGAACACCGGUGGCGAAGGCGGUUCUCUGGGCCUUACCUGACACUGAGGAGCGAAAGCGUGGGGAGCGAACAGGAUUAGAAACCCUCGUAGUCC
rnacentral:rRNA from 1 species